UACGGGGGGGGCAAGCGUUGUUCGGAAUUACUGGGCGUAAAGGGCUCGUAGGCGGCCAACUAAGUCAGACGUGAAAUCCCUAGGCUCAACCUAGGAACUGCGUCUGAUACUGGAUGGCUUGAAUCCGGGAGAGGGAUGCAGAAUUCCAGGUGUAGCGGUGAAAUGCGUAGAUAUCUGGAGGAACACCGGUGGCGAAGGCGGCAUCCUGGACCGAUACUGACGCUGAGGAGCGAAAGCCAGGGGAGCAAACGGG
rnacentral:rRNA from 1 species